rnacentral:rRNA from 1 species
AGAGUUUGAUCAUGGCUCAGGACGAACGCUGGCGGCGUGCUUAGCACAUGCAAGUCGAACGGAAAGGCCCUUCGGGGUACUCGAGUGGCGAACGGGUGAGUAACACGUGGGUGAUCUGCCCUGCACUUUGGGAUAAGCCUGGGAAACUGGGUCUAAUACCGAAUAGGAUCAUGGCCUGCAUGGGUUGUGGUGGAAAGCUUUUGCGGUGUGGGAUGGGCCCGCGGCCUAUCAGCUUGUUGGUGGGGUAAUGGCCUACCAAGGCGACGACGGGUAGCCGGCCUGAGAGGGUGACCGGCCACACUGGGACUGAGAUACGGCCCAGACUCCUACGGGAGGCAGCAGUGGGGAAUAUUGCACAAUGGGCGCAAGCCUGAUGCAGCGACGCCGCGUGAGGGAUGACGGCCUUCGGGUUGUAAACCUCUUUCAGUAGGGACGAAGCGCAAGUGACGGUACCUAUAGAAGAAGGACCGGCCAACUACGUGCCAGCAGCCGCGGUAAUACGUAGGGUCUGAGCGUUGUCCGGAAUUACUGGGCGUAAAGAGCUCGUAGGUGGUUUGUCGCGUUGUUCGUGAAAACUCACAGCUCAACUGUGGGCGUGCGGGCGAUACGGGCAGACUUGAGUACUGCAGGGGAGACUGGAAUUCCUGGUGUAGCGGUGGAAUGCGCAGAUAUCAGGAGGAACACCGGUGGCGAAGGCGGGUCUCUGGGCAGUAACUGACGCUGAGGAGCGAAAGCGUGGGGAGCGAACAGGAUUAGAUACCCCGGUAGUCC